GACGAACGCUGGCGGCGUGCUUAACACAUGCAAGUCGAACGGAAAGGCCCUGCUUUUGUGGGGUGCUCGAGUGGCGAACGGGUGAGUAACACGUGAGUAACCUUCCCUUUACUUUGGGAUAACUUCAGGAAACUGGGGCUACUACCGGAUAGGAGCUCCUGCUGCAUGGUGGGGGUUGGAAAGUUUCGGCGGUUGUGGAUGGACUCGCGGCUUAUCAGCUUGUUGGUGGGGUAGUUGCUUACCAAGGCUUUGACGGGUAGCCGGCCUGAGAGGGUGACCGGCCACAUUGGGACUGAGAUACGGCCCAGACUCCUACGGGAGGCAGCAGUGGGGAAUAUUGCACAAUGGGCGGAAGCCUGAUGCAGCAACGCCGCGUGCGGGAUGACGGCCUUCGGGUUGUAAACCGCUUUCGCCUGUGACGAAGCGUGAGUGACGGUAAUGGGUAAAGAAGCACCGGCUAACUACGUG
rnacentral:rRNA from 1 species